CCUCUACGUUCAGGGCUGGGCCCAUUUGUUAAUGGGAACAAUUGUGGUGACCGCGGUCGGGCGGGCGUGGGAAGCCUGAGUCGGCCACUCAGUGCUUGAUCCGGGUUCGUGGGUGACCCUUAGAGUGACGGCAGAUUCGAGGCCUCGUCUUGUAAGAGCUGCGCGUUGCUGGCAAGGACGCACACUUGACAGUGGUUUUCCAGGUUUGGGGAGGAUGGGUGAAUGCGUCAGGUUAUCGGCUCAGUGGGCCGCGAGGGAGGGUAACUACUGCCUGAGAAUCCAAGGCAAGUGGGUUAUCCCGGAAAGCUUCAGGCUGAGGAAGUGUCGGCAGUGGUCCUGAGCCGCCAGAUCGCAGUUCUUCUCGAAGGCGUGGUUACAGCUCGGGAUUUGCGUAUCGGCCCUGGAGCUCCUGGGAUCUGUAGCUCAGCACUAUGGAUGCUGUGGCUCCUUCAUGCUCAGAGCUGGUCCUGAGGCCCAGAUGCUCUCAUGCCUGCUUGACCUCUGCAGGACCUGCCUUCUUUGUCUCCAGCAAAGGUAUUCACAGAUCCUGGGGCAGGAGUGGGCUCUGGAGUUGGAUGAAGCUUGUGGAGAGGUCUUUGCCUUGAGGAGCUCCGAGAAGGUGUCUGGUGCUGGUCUACAGGCUUGUGGCUCUGUCAACAGCCACCGGGAAAAGCCACACAACUCCAGGCUUGAUAAAGCCAGAUCUUCCAGGUGGAAGGAAGAGGACCUAAAUCUCAGGCCAGGAAUGCCUCCUCUUGUGGCUGGAUAAAGUCCAAAUCUCCAUAAUGCGGCCUUCUGUGUUUAUGUGACCGUGAAUUCUUGCUAUCUUUGAAUUCUCAGUAAGCAUCCACUUUCUAGAUGUAAACGAUCCUUAAAUUAUAGUUUGUCCCCAACCAGAAGUAUGCUACAAAUAUACCUGUUCCUCCCUCGUGUUUAUGAAAACGAGAUGUGAAGACUUGUCCUCACAGAAAAGUUUUGCAUCCUCAAAAAUUUCUUUCUCAACCGAAAAA